AGUGAACGCUGGCGGUAGGCCUAACACAUGCAAGUCGAACGGCAGCACAGUAAGAGCUUGCUCUUACGGGUGGCGAGUGGCGGACGGGUGAGGAAUACAUCGGAAUCUACUUUUUCGUGGGGGAUAACGUAGGGAAACUUACGCUAAUACCGCAUACGCCCUACGGGUGAAAGCAGGGGAUCUUCGGACCUUGCGCGAUUGAAUGAGCCGAUGUCGGAUUAGCUAGUUGGCGGGGUAAAGGCCCACCAAGGCGACGAUCCGUAGCUGGUCUGAGAGGAUGAUCAGCCACACUGGAACUGGGACACGGUCCAGACUCCUACGGGAGGCAGCAGUGGGGAAUAUUGGACAAUGGGCGCAAGCCUGAUCCAGCCAUACCGCGUGAGUGAAGAAGGCCUUCGGGUUGUAAAGCCCUUUUGUUGGGAAAGAAAAGCAGCAGGUUAAUACCCCGCUGUUCUGACGGUACCCAAAGAAUAAGCACCGGCUAACUUCGUG
rnacentral:rRNA from 1 species